UUUAAAAACAUCGAUGUAAUCGACGUUGGCAUCGAUGUUUCUCCACCUCUACUGCUCACUUGGUCAACUUUUUAACCCGAUGCCUAAAACGACAGAAUGCUGCGCCAGAACCUGUUGGAUCAGCUCAAGCACUUCAUAGAGACGGUGAGCAAUGGCCACAGUUGUCCCCAGCUGCUGACCAGCCCCAAUCUCAUCAAGCUCGCGCUGGGAUUUCUGGAGGAGCUGCCCGCCACGCGGGACAUAGUGUUCGAAUACUUUGCAUUGCUGGCCGAGAUCAGUGUGCAGCUGUAUGUGUCGCCGGAGAUGGCGGACGCCAGGACCGGAAUGCCGGUGUCCCAGGUGAAGCAGGCAGGGAAUCGCCAGCAGCAGCUGCGCGCUCCGGAGUACGAGAGCUUCAAUAUGGUGAAGACGGCGCUGCAGAGCUUGGUGUGGAAGGGUCCGCCGGCGUGGUCGCCCCUGAUCGCCAACUGGAGCCUGGAGCUGGUGGCCAAGCUGUCCGAUAAGUACACCCAACGCCGGAUGACCAUUACGGCCAGCUGCAACUACUGGCUGGAAUGCAGCGCCAUGCACGGCCUGAUGACCCUCAUAAACAGCUGCUUCCGCAAGCUGACCCAGCCAGAGGAGGAGGCCUGCGUGGAGAUCAUGCUGAACGCCUUCCACCGCUUCCCCAUGACCUUCGACUGGAUCGUGGCCAGGUUGGGCGGCUGCUUUCCCUACAAGAUCAUCAUGCAGAUCCUGCAGUGCGGCAUCAAGCGAUUUGUCGACGACUACCGCUGCCACCUGGACUCGGAGGCGGGCAUCCUCGACUACAUGACCUCGUGCCACGAACAGCAGUUGAGGGCCGCCUUCCGCGAGAUGCUCAGGGAGGGAUUCGCGCCCAAGAAGCCGCUGGACGUGGCCGUCGUUCCCUUUUUGCUGAUCACCACCAACUACUCGGACACGAUCCUGCAGAGCUUGGUCAAUGUGCUGGUGGAAAUAUAUACCGAGGACAUGUGCGAGGUGAUUGUACAGAAGUCGCCGCUCUGGCUGAGCAACAAGAUGUUCGCCGGCAUGCAGCCCACGCUGAACAACGCCGUGCUCCGGCUGAACGAGCACGGAGCCACGCUGCUUCUAACGGCGGCCAGGAUGGCCGAGAAGUAUGUCUGGUGUCAGGACUUCCUGGACAACUCCAUGCAGGAGCUGGAACAGUGGGUGCUCAACCAGAGAAAUUUUCCGCUCCUGGCAGAUUUAGCCUAUGAGGAAACGAAGUACAUGCUGUGGAAAAGCUGCCUCAGCACUAAUCUCUUUGAGCAGCAAACGGCGGUGCGAUUGCUGCUGGUUGUGUCCUCCCAGCAUCCACACAUUUACUACCAGACCAUAUCUCAACUUCUGAAAAAGUCGUACGCUCAAAAUCCAAAUGGAAUUGGCGCCCUCAUUCGUCUGCUGGGUGGCCAAAGCGGAAUGGUAAACUUUCCGGGAUUCACGCCUGGCUUUAAAAUGGUCCUGGAGGACAUCACGCUGCACGUUCAGGUUAACAAUCGCUUGCCAGAGCCGCCAGGCACGCCCUCAGAAGCGCUCAACACUUUCUCCAACCUCAACAUACUGGCCAGAAUGCACAAGAGUAAAAAUGUAGCUCCAUAUAUCAAAGCACAACAUUUAAACCAAGCCCUCAACGAGUGUCUGCCAAAAAUAAUCCAAAUCUUCGACUGCACCGUGAACAAGUUGGUUCUUCGGAUGGAUAGAGAUGCUGCUGAGCGCAGUGCGGAGAAAUUUAGAGCGCAGCAAUGCAACAAUAAUAACAACAACAACUACAACAACGAUAACAACGACAUGUGCAAUGGCAAGGAAUACGGAAAACGACCUAAACUGGAGCCGGAUGAGGAAAAGGUGGAGGACGAGGACGUCACGCGAAUGCGUUUGGCCCACCUAAUAGUCGAUCUGUUAAACAACAUAGAUGCCGGCAGCCGCAGCAAUGUCUUGCGCACUCCACAGGUCCUGAAACUGGCCGUGCUUAGCGUCAAAUACUUCUUUGUGGGCCUAACAGAGCAGACUGUGAUUCGUCGAGCGGCGGCCUCGCAUCGAUCAUUCACCCUGCUGCAGCGGCAGUGCUCCGCCCGAAAGAUAGCGAGAACUGUGUGCCUGCGCGAACUGGUGGAAGGCGCCCUCUUCUACCAUGGCCAUCUGCUGGGCCAGCUGGAGGAAUAUGAACUGGAUGAAUUGCAAAUCCCGGAGCACGAGCUACUCAUCCUGCAGAACCUGCACACCAGCUCUGGCGCCAACUCGAAUCGCUCCGUACUGCAUUCCGGAAUUAUUGGGCGGGGUCUGCGACCAGUGCUGCCCACCAACGACAGAAACUGCGAUGCAGAGAAGCAGGCGCUGUAUUUGAAGGCAUUGAAUGCCUGCUGCGCCGAUCUGGAGAAACCGAACAACGUGGAGGGCUACUCGCUGGUCUCGCUGCUGCUGGUCGAGCUGGUCUCCACGGACGUCAUGUACAACGGCCUGCCCUUUCCGGACGAGGAGUUCACCAGGGUCACCAUGGAGCGGGACAUGCAGAUCAGGAGAGCGUUUAUCACCUCACCGGUGCUGUGGGCGGUUUUGGGACUGAUUGCCGGUCAUAGGCCGGCACUUUGCUACUCCUCCGUGCUUCUGCGUGCACUCUGCGCCACCUGUUUGCAUCACUGGCGGGGAAAGAAUGUUAAUAGAUUCCAGCCCACGGCUGCCAACGACGAGCUGAUGCUCUGUACCAAGAAAAUGCUACAACUGCUGGCUAUGAGCCAACUGAUUCCGCCACCACUUACCAAUCUGCAUCUCAUCAUCGAGCACUUUGAAUCGGCUGAGAUAGCCCUUCUGCUGCGCGAGUGCAUCUGGAACUACCUUAAGGACCACGUGCCCUCGCCGGCGCUCUUCCACGUGGACAACAACGGGCUGCACUGGCGCAACACGAACACCCAGGUGGCCAAGGUGCCGCCGCAGUAUGUGGACACGCUGCGCCACCUGAUGCAGCGGAAACUGGCCACCUUGGGGCCCCACUACCACCAGAUGUUCAUCAUGGGCGAGCUGAUGGAGGCGAACUCCGAGCCGGAUCCCACGGCCCGGCUGCAGAUCGUGGAACUAGAUUAAGCCUUCUUAGUUAGCUAGCCUAAUGUUGUGUGCGCAUGAACGUGUGUGGAUGGAAUGCAAUGGAGAAUCGGAAUUGUAGCGUGUGUGGAGCCUUGCAAAUACUGACCAGCAGUUAUUGUACCGAUGGCUUCUGGAAAUCGCAUCAUCUGUCUGUUUGUGUCUAGUUUAGAAUAUAACGAAGCCAACAACAAUUUCACUUGAACAUCUUUCU